GUGCUCACUUCGGCAGCGCAUAUACUAAAAUUGGAAUGAUACAGAGAAAAUUAGCAUGCCCCCUGUGCAAGGAACAAUAUGGGAAUAAAUUACUCCUGGUUUGU